GAUGAAGAACGCAGCGAAAUGCGAUAAGUAGUGUGAAUUGCAGAAUUCAGUGAAUCAUCGAAUCUUUGAACGCACAUUGCGGCCAUAGGUAUUCCUUUGGCCAUGCCUGUUCGAGCGUCAUUUACACCCUCAAGCCUAGCUUGGUGUUGGGCGUCUGUCCCGCCGUUCUCGCGCGCGGACUCGCCUCAAAGUCAUUGGCGGCGGUCGUGCCGGCCCCCUCGCGCAGCACAUUUGCGCUUCUCGGAGGCCCGGCGGAUCCGCGCUCCAGCGAGACCUUUCACGACUUGACCUCGGAUCAGGUAGGGAUACCCGCUGAACUUAAGCAUAUCAAUAAGCGGAGGA
rnacentral:misc_RNA from 1 species